GACGAACCGUGCGAACGUUGUUCGGAAUCACUGGGCUUAAAGGGCGCGUAGGCGGGCGGGCAAGCCCGGGGUGAAAUCGUUCGGCUCAACCGGACAAGGGCCUCGGGGACUGCCGGCCUGGAGGGAGGUAGGGGCCGCGGGAACUUCCGGUGGAGCGGUGAAAUGCGUUGAUAUCGGAAGGAACGCCGGUGGCGAAAGCGCGCGGCUGGCCCUCUUCUGACGCUGAGGCGCGAAAGCCAGGGGAGCAAACGGGAUUAGAUACCCCGGUAGUCCUGGCCCUAAACGAUGGGGACUAGGUAGUGGGCUUGACAUGGGCUCACUGCCGCAGCAAAAGUGCUAAGUCCCCCGCCUGGGGAGUAUGGUCGCAAGGCUGAA
rnacentral:rRNA from 1 species